CCUACGGGAGGCAGCAGUGGGGAAUAUUGCACAAUGGGGGAAACCCUGAUGCAGCAACGCCGCGUGAGUGAAGAAGUAUUUCGGUAUGUAAAGCUCUAUCAGCAGGGAAGAAGGUGACGGUACCUGAUUAAGAAGCCCCGGCUAACUACUUGCCAGCAGCCGCGGUAAUACGUAGGGGGCAAGCGGUAUCCGGAGUUACUGGUUGUAAAGGGAGCACAGACGGCAGUUCAAGGCUGGAGUGAAAGGCCGGGGCCCAACCCCGGGAAUGCUCUGGGAACUGUGCGGCUAGAGUACUGGAGGGGCAGGCGGAAUUCCUAGUGUAGCGGUGAAAUGCGGAGAUAUUAGGAGGAACACCAGUGGCGAAGGCGGCCUGCUGGACAGUAACUGACGUUGAGGCUCGAAAGCGUGGGAAGCAAACCAGGAUUAGAUACCCCUGUAGUC
rnacentral:rRNA from 1 species